rnacentral:rRNA from 1 species
UUUAGACCCACGGCAAACGGGUGAGUAAUACCUAGGAACGUAUCUUUAGUUGAGGAUAUCCCAUCGAAAGAUGGUGCAAUACUCAAUGUGAUCGCAAGAUUAAAGUCGCAAGACGCUAAAGAAGCGGCCUGGGCACCAUCAGCUAGUUGGUAAGGUAAUGGCUUACCAAGGCUAUGACGGUUAGGGGCCCCGAGAGGGGAGACCCCCACACUGGAACUGCGACACGGUCCAG